UACGUAGGGUGCAAGCGUUAAUCGGAAUUACUGGGCGUAAAGGGCUCGUAGGUGGCCAACCAAGUCGGACGUGAAAUCCCUCGGCUUAACCGGGGAACUGCAUCCGAUACUGGAUGGCUUGAGUUCGGGAGAGGGAUGCGGAAUUCCAGGUGUAGCGGUGAAAUGCGCAGAUAUCUGGAGGAACACCGGUGGCGAAGGCGGCAUCCUGGACCGACACUGACGCUGAGGAGCGAAAGCCAGGGGAGCAAACGGG
rnacentral:rRNA from 1 species